GGCGACCUAUGGGACCUGGCGGUUAGGACUCGGCCCUUUCAAGGCCGCAACGAGGGUUCGACUCCCUCUGGCGCUA
rnacentral:tRNA from 1 species